GACGAAGGGGGCUAGCGUUGUUCGGAAUUACUGGGCGUAAAGCGCGUGUAGGCGGUUGUCCAAGUUGGAUGUGAAAGCCUUGAGCUUAACUCAAGAAAUGCAUUCAGGACUGGAUGACUAGAGGACCGGAGAGGAUAGUGGAAUUCCCAGUGUAGUGGUGAAAUACGUAGAGAUUGGGAGGAACACCAGUGGCGAAGGCGACUACCUGGCCUGUUCUUGACGCUGAGGCGCGAAAGCUAGGGGAGCAAACGGG
rnacentral:rRNA from 1 species